rnacentral:lncRNA from 1 species
UGCAUCACAGAUGAUCAAGCUGUUCACCACUAUUUCAUUCACGUUAGGGGAGGAACACUUCCGCCGGGUAAAAAAUCCUAUAUAAUGACUAUAGGAUUUUUUACCCGGCGGAAUUUCUUAGGCUCUCGCCUAUAAAUUCAAGGCACACAGAGUGCCUAUAAAUCGGUUCAGUAGUUUGGGCGUGAAGAACUGGCAAACAGACAGGACACAUCACUUUCUCAUUUACUUAUAACUUUAGUAUGGAUAUUUCGGAAGGUAUCAUCGCAACCAUCUUACUAACUGUUAAUUCAUAUUUUAUUUUAACACCAACUACACUUACAGUAAAACACACUGGGCGCACUUAACUGCUACUCAAGUUAAGUAUCACUUGACUUUUCGUUAUCUUAAAAGUAAAAGUUACUGAACAAGUGCAGCGGAAAGUGAAACAUGGUUUUAUACGACAAGUUUAUUAUGUUUUUACUGAAUUGAGGCUGAAAAGUUAAGUACAUAGUAGUACAUCCACUCUUUGUAUGUGUUACUUAACUAAAAUUAUUGUUAUUUGUUGCUUGUAGUCACCCAUAUCCCGGGGGAAGUACUUUCAAAUGUCCUUUGUCAUAUGUCCUUUCUCAGGCUCUAGACUGUCUAUGUACAAAAUUUCAUUUAUAUCGAUCCAGUAGUUUUGUGCGUGAUAGCGCGACAGAUAGGCAGACAAAGUAAUUUUCUUAUAUGAUACAUGUGUUAAUAAGGAUAUCCAUUUUAACUUUAUCAGUCCUAUGCUGUAGAAAUCACUGUCUACUAGUUACUUGUCAUAUCAAUUUAAGCUGAAGUUUAACCUUGACGUAACAUCAAAUGAAAUAUUAAAGUAUGUAUUUAAACAUACAUUCUCACACUUGAAAUCCAAGUCAAGGACAGGUUAACUAAAAAUCUAUUAAUCAACGUGUGUAUCAUUUAUUAAAUGCCCGCAGUACAGAGUGACAUAAUAUUUGUAAAGAUGCGCCGGCGCAAGGUCGCGUUUGCGCAUUGUGUGCCAAUGUGGUGACCAUCUUGUGCUGUUAUGCAGGACUUAUGAAUUAGUUAGCUGUUUGGGCACAUUAUGGCUAAUUGAUGUAGAUUUUUUGCUAGUUUUAUACAUUUUCACCAGUUACAUUAAACCAAACUGAAUAUUGCUUGUGUAGAUAGGUCUUAAGAUGUAAUUAAUUAAUACACAACCACAACCGCAAUACACAAUUCUUGGGGACAGUGCUGCCCUUUAAGUUUACAUUAUAUACAACAGGCAACAUUUUUUAUUCCCGAUAGCUUUUCCAUUGAACUCUAACGCAUUACUUUUAACUCUAACGAUAAUUUAAAAUGAAUUUAUUAAUCUUCUGAAAUCUAGCUACAAGAGAUCGCAUUUACCACAUCCUUACUGUAAAUAUACCAGAAAAGUCCUCAAAAACAAAAAACUCAGGGCCACCCUCGCCCACCCACGUGCGCUCAGAUAAAUUAGCCGCGCCAAUUAAGUGGAUUAUUUGUGCAAUUAACUGCAAUUGUUCCAUUGAAGGCCUGCUAUUUAUUGCUGCUUUAUGCACUGGGAUGCAGAGGUCAAGUCGGUAUUGGAUGCAUCACGUCAUUGUCGAAGUAAAUGGAGCAGUUCUGGGUUUUAUUUUUAAGGGGAAUGAUAAGAGGUGUGGGGAUUCUUUUUUUUUUAAAAAGAUACGAUAUAGAGACUCUAAGAGUUAAACAAACGUUAGAGAUAAAAUUAUCAUGUAUGAUAAGAUGUUGUAUCUUAUGUCAUCUUGGGUAAAAUAUCAAAAAAAAUUCUCGCGCAAAUUUUUAAAAUAUAGAAUUGCUAUAAAGUGAAGUUUAAAAAUAUCUAUCACAUCGUUUACUCCAAUUAUUAUAAGUCAAUGCCUGAUUUAACAAUCUUGAACACUAAAUAAACUUAGGCAGACAAUGAGGAAACAUUUAAAAAUGAAAAUUAUGACCUAUUACAUGUCGGCCAUCAAGCUUAAGAAAAUAUAAAUACAUAAAACGUCCUGAUACUAACUUAAUAAGGAAAACGUUCAGUUGCGCAAGAGUUUACAUUACCGUCCUUUCAUUACGUUGGAAAAAUAAAACGAAUCGCCUUUAUUAGUUUUACAAUUCUACAGAAUUAGUUGGUAGCAGGGUUGCUAGGAUUGAAGAAAGAAAAAGCGUUUAUUCAUAAAAACAAUUACUUCAUACAUAAGUAUAAUUCUUUAUAAUUAGGAUGUAAAAAUAAAUAACCUGAUUACAAGAUUGAUCUCCAAAAAACAUAUUCUUAUCUGUAUAUUUAUGAAGCUGAAAAGUUUGUUUGCUUGUGUUAAUUAAGGCACUACCAGACCGAUUUGUUUCUGCUUCCAAAUUAAUUCUGCUCAUUUAUCGAGAAGGCCACUUAUUAACCGGGUGCGUGGAGUUGUUAGCAGUUAUUUACUAAAGCUUAGUUGCAGCACUACAAAAUAAUACGGGAAUCUACCAAAAACCUUCCAAAUUGUCGUUGGCAACCCUAGUUGUAAGUAACAUUCGGUGCGCGUCCACAAUAAAGGGUUCAGUACAAUUUAUAUCGAGUUUUAUAGCAGUUAGCGACUUCUCUUUAAUUAAAUAGCCGUUAUUUUAAAACUUACCUUUCGUCGUCAGUUGUCCAUAUUAUGUUCUGUAAUUGAUCCUUAAUCGUUGGUAGUUCUUAGUUAUUACAACGUUAGACUGUUUUAAUGACUUUUCUUUUGAUUGACUGUCUAGUCUAGGUAAAGAUGACAGAACGUCAACCUAUCUAAAUCUGCCUUUCUUCAAUAGAUAUUAAAUCGUUACGCUCCACUAUUGUGAUAAGGUUUCCCAGUGAGUUUUGGUCAUUUUGGUAUAGUUAAUACUUGAAAACCACUACAUAGUUGCAAUAAUUACCCUCGAUGUACUCACGUAUAAAAGUUUCACUUACUAUUAAAGUGAUAUGACCUUUUUCAAUAUCAAGAGUAUAAUGUUCUCCUUAGUCAUUUAAUGCCCAUCCCACAGACCCUUACGACUUGCCCCCGGCUAAAUGUACCCAUAACGUGUAACAUUAAACACCAGUUAAGCUUACCAAGCACAGUAAAAACUACAUAAACCAGCCUAGCUUCAAAUUAAAUUAAUACAAGCACAGCACCAUUUAACUUGGUCAACAUAUAAUUUUGCUUCUUAUAAAAGUACCAUAGAUUGCUCAGUCUACAAUCAAACCUUUUUAUUUCUUUUCGAUUAUCGAUUCUCGAUUCUUAAAGAACUUUAUCCCGGUACAAACCCGCCCUUUGUACGGUAUGGGAUCUUAAUUAUCAAUAACCCCAUAUAAUUUUAAAAAUCCUUUUCUUUAAUUUAAGCGUAUUCAACCGCUCAACAGCUCUCUUUUGAAAACUCGAAAUGUUUCGGCAGAGGUAUUAUUACUUCAGAACGAUAUCUCGAUUGAAUUGAUUCGUAUCGCAAUAAUCGAAUCGCUGUAUGGGUUUUAAUAAUAGAGGUCUUGAAUUGCGAGCGGAGGAUGUAUGGGUCCAAAUGUUUAGGAACACUUCAAAAUGAAUGGUAUGAUUUGUAUGGUGAGGUCCAAGGACUUUUCUUGAAUAAAACUGGGAAGGGAAAAAGCUGGGCAAUCAUUUAAGUAUUUCAUAAACCACUACAAGUAUAUAUUGCAGUUGCUCUCGAUUUUUCUAAUAAAAAAUUCUAAAAGCAUAUACUUAGACAGCCAGAUCAAUCAACCCUAAACAUAGGCUGUGGUCCUAUAUGUUUUUGCUGGGAAGAAGUGGCGCAACAAACUCCCCAGCAACACAUGUCUGUCUGCUAGUUUUCAAGUUUCGCGUUAAAGGUACACGCUCUUUGAACUCCCAAAAAGAAUAAUUCACGUUUUAUCAUAACAAAAAAAUCAUGUCUUUUAUAUUUCUGAAGUUUUUGCUUUACAAACAUCAUGCGUAUUCAAACGUAUUUGAUCAUCAAUCUUAAUUACCUGUCUUUGUCAGUAUUUUGGCUCUGCGGUCGUAAUGUGAGGUUAGUGAUUAUAUUCGAAACAUUUUAGCGAGAAUUAAAAUGCGUCGUUUGUGAAGAUGACUAAUGAUUUUGGACUUGGUACUUACCAUAAUACGUAAGUAAGUUUGCUAAAAAAAUUUUGGGAAAAUAAUAAAUUCAAUAUAAAGCCAAAGCGGUAAUGUAGAUGCUGCAGUAAUAUCUCUUGUAAUAAACUAUAGUUUAUAAGUAAGACUGUUACAGUCUUACUUAUAAACUAAUAAGUUAUACUUAAGGGGUGUUUAAGAAAAAAUCUUACUUAUAAACGUGGCUGAACUAAAUCAUUUUCUUAGCAAUGUCUUAAAUGAGCUGUCAAAUUAAGUAGCCUCACACCCUUGUUUAACCCACUAAUUAGCAAAAUGGCUGGAUUCUUACCAGCUGAUUUUUCAUUUCCGGUUUAUUGACAGCUCAACUUUUUAAUUUUAUAUUUUACGGAUGCCAUUGUUGCCAUUACACAACGUUUUGAUGACAAAUAUUUUUUUAAGCUACCAACAUUCCGGUAGUGUUGAGAAAUUAGUAUGUUUUUAUGUCAUUAUCUGUUCAUUACUUAAGACAUGCUUAAGCAACGUUUAUAGGUCAAAAUAAUUUAAUCACUACUUAAGGCUUUAUGUAGUAAUUACUUAAAACAAUGCUUAGAAGAUGAUUUGUUGAUUUUUAUAAGUAAGGCUGUAGGUAUUUAAAAUAUGGGUAAAUAAAAAGGGUACUAAUGAGGUCAUUAUAUACUCUAAACGAGACGUACUUCCCAGAACGCAGUAGUAAGAACUUUUCUUCAAGAUAUGCCACAGACUGACAACUUGAGGGGCUCUUCAGACUUCAUAAGUCGUUGUCUAAUUACCCAUAAGCCGUAAUAAAGUUGAAACUUAACUCUCAUUUAAAUGGUCCAGUUCAUAAUACGGCUCAAAUCUGGCUGCUAACGGGCAAUUAGACCAAUUUAGGGCUCUUAAUAAGCCCCCGAAACCAUGCAAAAUGUAAAAGGUCCAUACUUUAUCCUACACGAUCAAAAUACGACUGGUUAUAAAAAGUGAGAGUUUUUUUAAAGUCUGGAAAUAAUUAAAUCACGCACACUGACAGUUGCACAUGUUGCAUCCCUACAUACUAACGCGUGCACUCACGCGCAGCCCGUCGAUCCACGAGGUUAGAGAUGCCCAAACGCACCAUAAUUGGCGCCAACGCUUUUUGGCGCGGUAUUUUUAUUCAUGGAUUCUUGCGGCCUCUUUUGUACCCUUAAAGCCUUUUAUGGCCCAUCCUUUUUGCUGCCAAACGUGCGCACGCGCCGCUGCUAAGACGAGUGAGCAAUUAACAUUAUUUUCGUUUGUGAUUGGUCCAAAACCAAAACAAUACAUAUGCAAUGCAUUGUCGGACAGUUUUUCGUGGAUUUUUGCCUGUCACCGUUUUGGGACUGACCGCUGAUCUUUUAUGGAUAGCUUGCGCAACAUUUAAUGUACACGUCGGCUUUUUUGUUUUAUUACAUGAACACGGAGUAGCGAAAUACUUUACAGGAGAAUUGCAUCAUCAACUUGUUCUUCGGACAGAAAAACUUGAAGCCGAUGUCGUCUGUCGUCCAACUAGUUUCACAUAUCAGAACCACGCAACAAAGAUAGUAUUUAGAAAGUUAAUUGUAAAUUCUAAAAAUAACCUUAGAAACAAUGUAAAAUUCAAAAUAACCGUGGUACAAACAAAGGGCCAGCGACUUUCUUAAGUCACUGCAUAUUUGAACAGGCAAUUUGCAUUCCCUCAAAACGCUCAGUAAAUCACAGUACUUUCUUAAACAAACACUGCUUUCAUUACAAAACCAAAUACAGUUUAUCUGGGCUCUGUAAAUUUUAAAGAGAAAACAAUGGCAACGCCUUUCCAUUUCUCUAAAUCAAAUAGUACCAAAACCGGGCGGUGGUUAUGAGAGGCGCUGUCGCUGCGCCCGCGCCGCUGAUUUAUGCUGCGCGCGCGCACCUCAACAAUUUAUUGCGAUUAGAACACUCUUUGUGGUAGCUGUGAUUCAGAUGUGCUGCGUUUUAGUCGGAUCUUGUUUAUGGUACGGAAUGGCAAUAUGUAUCUCCAUGUCUGCAAUGAAAAGUUGUUAUAAACGGCCGGAUAUUUUCGUGCUGGCAAUUUAUUUGCUCGAUUUAGGAACAUUCGAACUGCAGUUUAAGAGCCUGUAAUUUAUUUAAAUGUUCUGCAGCUUAAGGUCUUCAUUGGUGCAUGGAUUAUCCCUUUUUUGGUAAGGAGCGUGAGCGAAACUAACAAAUUAGGUAAAUUAGUUCAGUUUUUUUGGCUCGCUCGCCUUCGCCGUGAUCGCAGGGCUAUCUGCCUAUCCUUAUUUAAUCUUAAACAGGUAAUUAUGUAAUUACACACGGAUUGGAACCCGCGACCUCCAUUCGUACUGGCAUCUUAACUACCGGCCUUACAAGGCGAUCGAAUUACACACAAUGCAAACAUUUCGGUGCAAUUAGGUGCGCAGGCGCGCCCAGUCCGAAUCAAUUAUAAUACACUAAUCUCUUAUCUUGGGGUUUGAGCUUGUAAAAGUUCUUCAUAUUGGAAAAGUACCGAAAACAGACGCGCGUAUUUAUCUCUUCUUUUGCAAACAUUUUCAUGCAAUUAAAAAUAUUUAAACAUCUUCGGGGUUUAAUGUAUAUCUCAUUUUUAAGAAUGUAGUUAAAAACAUUUUGAUUAAAAAGGCGUAUUAUAAAAUUCAGGAUUACAUUAAUGACAGUGAUGCCUGGCGCUAAAUUAAUAUUGUUUUUUCUUUUUCUCUGCACAUGUGGCUUCCCCGGCGACCACGGGCACGGGAGUGCCUCCGCCCAGACCAGCCAAGCCCAAGCCAGCAAGACCCCAAAUUGCAUUGUAUGAUAUCUUGGUUACCCAAUAUAUUUUUUCUUUGAAUUGUAUAAAUUAUUUUUCCAGUAAAGAUUGCACUAAAAUUAUUUUGUAUAAUUUAUUAAUACAUUUUUAGCUCAAUUUGGAUUGUAUAACAUUCUCAGGACUAGAUAGAAAACUGUAUGUCUGUAAUUAUUUUUAUUUUCUUUUAAAAAGAGUGUCCAUGGAGUUUCUUGCCGGUUCUUCUCCAUGAGACCAACUCUUUGGAACCGUGCACCUAACUUUGACGUUUCGAAAGAGCUUUCAUAGGCCUAUUUGAAAUAAAAAAUUUUGAGUUGA